GACAGUUAUUAAACUAGGUAACAUGUGAAUAGGCAUCAAUACAAUAGCCCAUUAGUAUUUACAGCUGCUGAUACAUAGACAGUUAUUAAACUAGGUAACAUGUGAAUAGGCAUCAAUACAAUAGCCCAUUAGUAUCUACAGCUGCUGAUACAUAGACAGUUAUUAAACUAGGUAACAUGUGAAUAGGCAUCAAUACAAUAGCCCAUUAGUAUCUACAGCUGCUGAUAUAUAGACAGUUAUUAAACUAGGUAACAUGUGAAUAGGCAUCAAUACAAUAGCCCAUUAGUAUCUACAGCUGCUGAUAUAUAGACAGUUAUUAAACUAGGUAACAUGUGAAUAGGCAUCAAUACAAUAGCCCAUUAGUAUCUACAGCUGCUGAUAUAUAGACAGUUAUUAAACUAGGUUACAUGUGAAUAGGCAUCAAUACAAUAGCCCAUUAGUAUCUACAGCUGCUGAUAUAUAGACAGUUAUUAAACUAGGUAACAUGUGAAUAGGCAUCAAUACAAUAGCCCAUUAGUAUCUACAGCUGCUGAUAUAUAGACAGUUAUUAAACUAGGUAACAUGUGAAUAGGCAUCAAUACAAUAGCCCAUUAGUAUCUACAGCUGCUGAUAUAUAGACAGUUAUUAAACUAGGUAACAUGUGAAUAGGCAUCAAUACAAUAGCCCAUUAGUAUCUACAGCUGCUGAUAUAUAGACAGUUAUUAAACUAGGUAACAUGUGAAUAGGCAUCAAUACAAUAGCCCAUUAGUAUCUACAGCUGCUGAUAUAUAGACAGUUAUUAAACUAGGUAACAUGUGAAUAGGCAUCAAUACAAUAGCCCAUUAGUAUCUACAGCUGCUGAUAUAUAGACAGUUAUUAAACUAGGUAACAUGUGAAUAGGCAUCAAUACAAUAGCCCAUUAGUAUCUACAGCUGCUGAUAUAUAGACAGUUAUUAAACUAGGUAACAUGUGAAUAGGCAUCAAUACAAUAGCCCAUUAGUAUCUACAGCUGCUGAUACAUAGACAGUUAUUAAACUAGGUUACAUGUGAAUAGGCAUCAAUACAAUAGCCCAUUAGUAUCUACAGCUGCUGAUACAUAGACAGUUAUUAAACUAGGUAACAUGUGAAUAGGCAUCAAUACAAUAGCCCAUUAGUAUCUACAGCUGCUGAUACAUAGACAGUUAUUAAACUAGGUAACAUGUGAAUAGGCAUCAAUACAAUAGCCCAUUAGUAUCUACAGCUGCUGAUACAUAGACAGUUAUUAAACUAGGUAACAUGUGAAUAGGCAUCA